rnacentral:lncRNA from 1 species
AUUCACUCAUAAUCCGAGGAGAACAACAACAUUCUGCAAUGUGAUCGUCGCCUCUCCGAUAUGGAGGCGAAAAGUGUGUCUCCUGAUGCCAUCGCUCACCAUGGCUGUAAUGAGGGCCCAAUCAAGUCGUAUGUUGCAAACUCUAAAAAUACCAUAAAAAUUAACCACAUGAAGAUAUUCUACAAUCCUCUGAUGUGGCCGCC